rnacentral:rRNA from 1 species
AGAUCCUGAAACCGUGUGCCUACAAGUAGUCAGAGCCCGUUAACGGGUGAUGGCGUGCCUUUUGUAGAAUGAACCGGCGAGUUACGAUCCCGUGCAAGGUUAAGCAGAAGAUGCGGAGCCGCAGCGAAAGCGAGUCUGAAUAGGGCGCAUGAGUACGUGGUCGUAGACCCGAAACCAGGUGAUCUACCCAUGUCCAGGGUGAAGUUCAGGUAACACUGAAUGGAGGCCCGAACCCACGCACGUUGAAAAGUGCGGGGAUGAGGUGUGGGUAGGGGUGAAAUGCCAAUCGAACCUGGAGAUAGCUGGUUCUCUCCGAAAUAGCUUUAGGGCUAGCCUCAAGGUAAGAGUCUCGGAGGUAGAGCACUGAUUGGACUAGGGGCCCCUACCGGGUUACCGAAUUCAGUCAAACUCCGAAUGCCGAUGACUUAUCCUUGGGAGUCAGACUGCGAGUGAUAAGAUCCGUAGUCGAAAGGGAAACAGCCCAGACCGCCAGCUAAGGUCCCAAAGUAUACGUUAAGUGGAAAAGGAUGUGGAGUUGCUUAGACAACCAGGAUGUUGGCUUAGAAGCAGCCACCAUUUAAAGAGUGCGUAAUAGCUCACUGGUCGAGUGACUCUGCGCCGAAAAUGUACCGGGGCUAAACGUAUCACCGAAGCUGCGGACUGUUCUUACGAACAGUGGUAGGAGAGCGUUCUAAGGGCUGUGAAGCCAGACCGGAAGGACUGGUGGAGCGCUUAGAAGUGAGAAUGCCGGUAUGAGUAGCGAAAGACGGGUGAGAAUCCCGUCCACCGAAUGCCUAAGGUUUCCUGAGGAAGGCUCGUCCGCUCAGGGUUAGUCGGGACCUAAGCCGAGGCCGAAAGGCGUAGGCGAUGGACAACAGGUUGAUAUUCCUGUACCACCUCCUCACCAUUUGAGCAAUGGGGGGACGCAGGAGGAUAGGGUAAGCGCGGUAUUGGAUAUCCGCGUCCAAGCAGUUAGGCUGGGAAAUAGGCAAAUCCGUUUCCCGUAAAGGCUGAGCUGUGAUGGCGAGCGAAAUUUAGUAGCGAAGUUCCUGAUUCCACACUGCCAAGAAAAGCCUCUAGCGAGGUGAGAGGUGCCCGUACCGCAAACCGACACAGGUAGGCGAGGAGAGAAUCCUAAGGUGAUCGAGAGAACUCUCGUUAAGGAACUCGGCAA